rnacentral:sRNA from 1 species
AACUUUUAUUAAUUUGGGCAUUUUGUUAUAACCUAUAUAAAUAUGUAUGUUUCUGAGAAACAAACAAAUAAAUGAUUCAGCUUAGUCGGUAAAGGAAUGGAAAAAAUGUCAAAAAAAUCCCCAACUUUCAAAUUUGGGACGAUUUAAUCUUGAACUUCACAGAAGACAAAUAAAUCGUAAAGUUUGUGUUGACAUUCUAAAUAAAUGACAAAGUUUUUGUUGACUUCCCAUUUGAGUCAUGUCGUUACAUAGGUUAACAGAAUUUUUUUACGACGUUCAUGUUCCGUUUAUCUGCUCUGUUAGGACAAAACAAUGUCGUUUAUUGUAGAGACAAACAACAUCGUUUCUUCUGUUGAAACAAAUUUAAACCCUAAAUCCCCAAAUCGAUUUCAUUAUCUCAAAUCCUAUAGAGGCCGAAUCGAUUCGAAUCCCAUCUGGUGAGGAGACGAACAAUGUUCCUCAGCCCAAAUCAAAUCGAAAGAAGAGAAAACGGAAGAAGGAAGUUGAAGUAGACGACGUCGUUUUGUUAACCUACUUAACGACAUGACUGAAAUGGCAAGUCAACAAUAACUUUGUUA